GAUCACAUGCAUGAUGUGGAGCCUGGUGGUGGGUUGAAUCAGUCAACUGAACCAAAUGAACUGCUAAAGCUAAGAAGAGAGAAGGUGGCUUAGGUCAGGAUCAGCUAUAUAUGAAAGAAGCCAACGCUUCUCUUCUUUCCGAGAGACCGAUGGUAUUUAUUUGAACUUCCUGUAUCCGUAUCAAGUCAAGCAUACUACCUAGCGCUACAUCACAUCUGAAUGUAUCGUGUAUCGUGCACUUACUAAUGUUACUGGUGUUGCCAUCUCCAAGAUGUUAAGCUAUGGUAUGCUAGUGUUGAUGACUGCUGCUCUUGUUGGCAUUCAAACUUGUCAAGGGACUGAAGGUGGCCAUUGCCCAAGGAAUGAUUGUUCUUUACCGGCAACAGCAAAUCGAAGCCGCAUCGAUUGUUGGAUCAAAGAGGGGUUCUGUGAUGCAGGGCAAAUACAGCCCA